CCACACCUAAAAACUUUCCACGUGAACUGUCGUUAUUUGUUGUGUGUGUGCGYGUUGGUAGCAUGCGUGUUUGCUUACGCUUYGGUGUUUGCGAGUGYGYGUGYUGKCGGUGCGCAGACUGAACGAAGGUCGUGUGUUGCUGUGUGYCUGCUGCACYGCUGACUUUGCAUUGAUUUGCAUGAUGUUGGCGGAGYGGCGGGUGCUGUUGCRUGCGCGGCUGACCUAUUUUUUUCAAACCCCAUACGUAAAUGACUGAAUAUACUGUGAGAACGAAAGUUCUUGCUUUUAACUAGAUAACAACUUUCAGCAGUGGAUGUCUAGGCUCGCACAUCGAUGAAGAACGCUGCGAACUGCGAUACGUAAUGCGAAUUGCAGAAUUCAGUGAGUCAUCGAAAUUUUGAACGCAUAUUGCACUUCCGGGUUAURCCUGGAAGUAUGUCUGUAUCAGUGUCCGUAAAUCAAACUUGCGUUUCUUCCUUCCGUGUAGUCGGUGGAGGAGAGUUGCAGAUGUGAAGUGUCUCGCUGUGGUUGGUGUUUGUUGUUUGCAAUGAAUGCACAGCUUGCGAGUCCUUUUAAAUGGACACGACUUUCUCUUUUUUGUAUGUGCGCGGUGCUGUGCGUGAACGCGGUGGUUUUCGGAUCGCUCGCGGCUGUCGGCGACUUCGUGAAUGCAUAAUGGAGUGGACCUCGAUUCGCGGUAUGUUGGGCUUCGGCUGGACAAUGUUGCUUAUGUGUGUCUGUCCG
rnacentral:rRNA from 1 species